UGGGGGCUCCCUGCUGCCCCCCAGCCCGCGGCGCUUCCUGGCCCUGCUGGCCCGCCUGCUCGGCGCCUUCGUGGCCAGGAGGCACCAGCUGCACCUCCUGCAGGAGGAAUUUUCGGGCUGGCUCCAGGGCCCCCCCCCUGCAGCAAUUCCCCUCUGCAACCUGCUCAGCUUCCACUGCCGGAUCCCCGCCCAAAACCCCCAAAAUCCCCAAAUUCCCCACCAAAAUCCGGGAAUUCCCCACCAAAAUCCGGGAAUUCCCCACCAAAAUCCCGAAAUUCCGGAAAAAAAACCCCAAAAUUCCUGGAAAAAAACCCCAAAAAUCCUGGAAAAAACCCCAAAAUUCCUGCGGAAAAUUCAGAAAUUCCUGAGGAAAAUCCCGAAAUUUGUGGGAAAAACCCCAAAAUUUCUGGGAAAAACCCCGAAAAUUGUGGGAAAAAUUUUGGAAUUUCUGGAAAAAACCCCAAAAUUCCUGCGGAAAAUUCAGAAAUUCCUGAGGAAGAUCCUGAAAAUUGUGGGGAAAAUCCUGAAAUUUGUGGGGAAAACCCCAAAAUUUUUGGGGAAAAUCCUGGAAUUUUUGGGGAAAGUGCGGAAAAUUUGGGAAUUUCCGGGGAGAAUUUGGGAAUUUUGGGGAGAGGCCCCGGAAUGUUCUGGAAUUCCGAGCGCGGCUGCUCUACGGGGACCCCCUGAGGAGCCUCCCCACGGACGUCGAGGUCACGGCGCACGGCGGUUCGGUGUCCCCGGGGCUGUUCCGGGCGCUCUCUCUGCCGCGGGCCCUGCGCGCCCUCGGCCGCCAGCAUUCCCAGAAUGUCCUGCAAUUCCCACCGGGAACCGGCUGAGAACGGCGGGGAUGGAACGGAAUUCCCAGAAAUCCUGGAAUUCCUGACGGAAAUGGGGUGAAAUGUUUGGGAUUUGGGGUUUUUGGGGUCGAAAUUCCAGGAAAAAUCCAGGAAUUUGGGGGGGUUUUUGGGAUGCAGAUUGCAACAUUUUAGGAAAAAUCUGGGAAUUUUUGGGGUUUGGGAUGGAAAUUCUUGGGAAAUCCUGGAAUUCUCAGCGGGAACGGAGAGGAAUUCCCAGAAAAUCCUGGAAUUCCCAACGGGAAUGGGGUGAAAUGUUUGGGAAUUGGGGUUUUUGGGGUCGAAAUUCCAGGAAAAAUCCAGGAAUUUGGGGGGGUUUUUGGGAUGCAGAUUGCAACAUUUUAGGAAAAAUCUGGGAAUUUGGGGGUUUGGGAUGGAAAUUCUUGGGAAAUCCUGGAAUUCCCAGCGGGAACGGAGAGGAAUUCCCAGAAAAUCCUGGAAUUCCCGACGGAAAUGGGGUGAAAUGUUUGGGAAUUGGGGUUUUUGGGGUUGAAAUUCCAGGAAAAAUCCGGGAAUUUGGGGGGGUUUUUGGGAUGCAAAUUCCAACAUUUUAGGAAAAAUCUGGGAAUUUUGGGGGUCAAACUUUGGGAUUUGGGGGUUUGGCAGGGAAAUUCUUGGGAAAUCCUGGAAUUCCCAGUGGGAAUGGAGAGGGAUUCCUGGGAAAUCCUGGAAUUCCCAAUGGAAAUGGGGUGAAAACGGCGGGAUUUGGGGUUUUGGGAUGGAAAUUCUGGGGGAAAUUGGGGGAAAUCUGGGAAGUUUGGGAGGUUUUUGGGAUGGAAACUCCAGAAUUCCAGGAGAAAUCUGGGAAUUUUGGGGUCAAACUUUGGGAUUUGGGGUUUUUGGGAUUGAAAAUGUGGGAAAAAAUCUGGGAAUUUUGGGGGUAAAACUUUGGGAUUUGGGAAAGAAUCCCAGAAAAUCCUGGGAUUCCCGGCAAGAAUGGAGAGGGAUUCCCGGGAAAUCCUGGAAUUCCCAACGGGAACCAGCUGAGAACGGUGGGAAUGGGAGGGAAAAUCCGGAAUUUCCAAAAAAUUCUGGAGAUUUUGGGUUAAAUUUUGGGAUUUGGGGGUUUUGGGUGGAAAUUCUUGGGAAAUCCUGGAAUUCCCAGUGGGAACGGAGCUCGAUUCCCAAAAUAUCCUGGAAUUCCCAAUGGAAACGGGGUGAAAAUGGCGGGAAUGGAACGGAAUUCCCAAAAAAUCCUGGAAUUCCCAGAGGGAACGGAGAGGAAUUCCCAGGAAAUCCUGGAAUUCCCAACGGAAAUGGGGUGAAAUGUUUGGGAUUUGGGGUUUUUGGGGUUGAAAUUCCAGGAAAAAUCCGGGAAUUUGGGGGGGGUUUUUGGGAUGCAGAUUGCAACAUUUUAGGAAAAAUAUGGGAAUUUUGGGGGUCAAACUUUGGGAUUUGGGGGUUUGGGAUGGAAAUUCCUGGGAAAUCCUGGAAUUCCCGGCGGGAACGGAGAGCAGUGCCUGGGAAAUCUUGGAAUUCCCAACGGAAAUGGGGUGAAAACGGCGGGAUUUGGGGUUUUGGGAUGGAAAUUCUGGAGGAAAUUGGGGGAAAUCUGGGAAUUUGGGGUUGUUUGGGAUGGAAAUUUUGGAAUUCCAGGAGAAAUCUGGGAAGUUUGGGGUCAAACUCUGGGAUUUGGGGGUUUUUGGGAUUGAAAUUGUGGGAAAAAAUCUGGGAAUUUUGGGGGUAAAACUUUGGGAUUUGGGAAGGAAAUUCCCAGAAAAUCCUGGGAUUCCCGGCAGGAAUGGAGAGCGAUUCCCGGGAAAUCCUGGAAUUCCCAACGGAAAUGGGGUGAAAACUUUGGGAUUUGGGGUUUUUGGGGUCGAAAUUCCAGGAAAAAUCUGGCAAUUUUGGAGCUGUUUGGGAUGGAAAUUUUGGAAUUCCAGGAGAAAUCUGGGAAUUUUGGGGUAAAACUUUGGGAUUUUGGGAGAUUUGCAGUCAAAAUUCUGGGAAAAAUUGGGAGAAAUCUGGGAAGUUUUGGCGUUUUUGGGAUGAAAAUUGGAAGAUUCCUGGAAAAAUCCAGGAAUUUUGGGGUCAGACUUUUGGGAUUUGGGGGGUUUUGGGGACAGAAUUCCAGGAAAAAUCUGGGAAUUUUGGGAUUGAACUUUGGGAUUUUGGGGGCCUUGGGAUUCUGGGGGAAAUCUGGGAAUUUUGGGGCUUUUGGGUUCAGAAUUCCAGGAAAAAUCUGGGAAUUUUGGGGUCAAACUUUUGGGAUUUGGGGAUUUUGGGAUUGGGAUUCAGGGAGAAAUCCAGGAAUUUUGAGGAUAAAAGUUUGGGGAUUUGGGGUUUUUGGGACGGAAGUUGCCAGGAAAUCCUGGAAUUCCUGGCGGGAACGGGGUGAAAAUGGCGGGAAUGGGAAUUUUGGGAUUGGGAUUCUGGGGAAAUCUGGGAAUUUGGGGGUCAAACUUUUGGGAUUUGGGGAUUUUUGGGAUGGAAAUUCCCAGAAUAUCCUGGAAUUCCCGGCGGAAACCGAGAGGAAUUCCCAGGAAAUCCUGGAAUUCCUGACGGAAAUGGGGUGAAAAUGGCAGGAAUGGGAAUUUUGGGAUUGGGAUUCUGGGAAAAAAUCCAGGAAUUUGGGGUUUUUUUUGGUGUCAGAGUUUGGGAUUUGGGGGUUUUGGGAUGGGAAUUGUGGGAACAAAUCCAGGAAUUUUGGGAUUAAACUUUGGGGAUCUGGAGAUGAAAAUUCCCGGGAAAUCCUGGAAUUCCCGACGGGAACGGGGUGAAAAUGGCAGGAAUGGGAAUUUUGGGAUUGGGAUUCUGGGAAAAAUCCAGGAAUUUUGGGGAUAAAAGUUUGGGAUUUGGGAGAUUUGGGGUCAGAAUUCCAGGAAAAAAUCCGGGAAUUUUGGGGUCAACUGUUGAGAUUUUGGGUUUUUGGGAUGGAAAUUCCCAGAAAAUCCUGGAAUUCCUGGCAGGAACGGGGUGAAAAUGGCGGGAAUGGGAGAGAAAUUAUGGAAUUUCCAAAAAAAUCUGGGAAUUUUGGGGUCAAACUUUGGGAUUUCGGGGUUGUGGGAUUGGGAUUCUGGGGAAAAUCUGGGAAUUUCGGGGGUUAAAUGUUGGGAUUUGGGGGUUUUGGGAUGGAAAUUCUGGGGAAAAUUGGGAGAAAUCUGGGAAGUUUUGGGGGUUUUUGGGAUGAAAAUUGCAAGAUUCCAGGAAAAAUCCGGGAAUUUUGGGGCCAAACUUUUGGGAUUUGGGGCUUUUGGGGUCAGAAUUCCAGGAAAAAUCUGGGAAUUUUGGGGUCAAACUUUUGGGAUUUGGGGGAUUUGGGGAUGAAAAUUCCCAGAAUAUCCUGGAAUUCCUGGCAGGAACGGGGUGAAAAUGGCGGGAAUGGGAUCGGAAUUCCCAAAAAUCCUGGAAUUCCCAGCAGGAAUGGAGAGGGAUUCCCAGGAAAUCCUGGAAUUCCCAGUGGGAACGGAGCGGGAUUCCCGGGAAAUCCUGGAAUUUCCAAUGGAAAUGGGGUGAAAAUGGCGGGAUUUGGGGUUUUGGGAUGGAAAUUUUGGGGAAAAUCCUGGAAUUUUGGGGGUUUUUGGGAUGAAAAUUCUGGUGUUCCGGGAAAAAUCUGGGAAUUUUGGGAUUGAACAUUGGGAUUUGGGGGUUUUGGACUUGGGAUUCUGGGGGAAAUCUGGGAAUUUUGGGGCUUUUGGGUUCAGAAUUCCAGGAAAAAUCUGGGAAUUUUGGGGUCCAACUUUGGGAUUUGGGGAUUUUUGGGAUGGAAAUUCCCAGAAUAUCCUGGAACUCCCGGCGGAAACCGAGAGGAAUUCCCAGAAAAUCCUGGAAUUCCCGACAGAAAUGGGGUGAACAUGGCGGGAAUGGGAAUUUUGGGAUUGGGAUUCUGGAAUUCCUGGAGAAAUCUGGGAAUUUUGGGGUUAAACUUUGGGAUUUGGGAUGGAAAUUCCCAGGAAAUCCUGGAAUUCCCAGCAGGAAUGGGGUGAAAACUUUGGGAUUUGCAGGUUUUGGGAUUGAAAUUCUGGAAUUCCUGGGGAAAAAAUCUGGGAAUUUUGGGGUCAAACUUCGGCUUUUUGGGAGUUUUUGGGGUCAAAAUUCCAGGAAAAAUCUGGGAAUUUGGGAUUGAACUUUGGGGGUUUUGGGGAUGAAAAUUCCCACAAAAUCCUGGAAUUCCCAACAGAAAUGGGAUGGAAAUAGCGGGAAUGGGAGGGAAAUUCUGGAAUUUCCAAAAAAUUCUGGGAAUUUUGGGGUCAAACUCUGGGAUUUGGGGGUUUGGGAUUCUGGGAAAAAUCUGGGAAUUUUGGGGGUCGUGGGUUCAGAAUUCCAGGAGAAAUCCGGGAAUUUUGUGAUCAGACUUUGGGAUUUGGCGGAAUUUGGGAUGGAAAUUCCAGAAUUCCAGGAAAAAUCUGGGAAUUUUGGGGUCAAACUUUGGGAUUUUGGGGGUUUUGGGAUUGAGGUUUUCAAUAAAAAAUGGGAAUUAAAAAAUUCCAAACUUC